UUUUAUAUUCUAUAACAGAUUAGUUUUUUUUAAUAUAUCAGAUAAUUGCUCUAUUUUAACUUAAGUGCCAGAAGAGCACGAUGCUCUUCUGGUAUCAUAGCGUAAACACAGUUCGAAAGGAAGAGAUGAAAGAGUUAAAAGAGUGCCAUUGGACCGAUCUAGUUUUUUUUGGAUAAGACUUGAGUAGGGCAAAUAAAAAUGUAACAAUUUCUAUUUUAUAUUGUUCUGUUCUAAAGAGAACUAAACGUCAAUACAAUGUUGAAUAACGUAUUGAAUUGGCACCACUGUCACGUACGUGAUAAAAUAUCGUUUCCGAAUUUCGUCCUCUAUAUCGAGACAGCGUUAAGCGACAUAUUAUGUCAAAACGUAUUGAAUUGACAUACGGGAGUUUGCUAAGUGUCAGCUCUGAAUUUUUACCUUUUGAGAUUGUAUAACCAAUUGUAAUUAAACUGCCAAAAUAAGCGCGCAGUUGUUUAAAAAUAUAAAUAAGUAUACUAACUCCUCAGAAGUUAUGGAUUUAUACCGGCUUUAUCGGUCAAAUUUGGAUUAUUUACAUAGGUGAACGUUUCGCUAUGCAUUGCGUGGCCAGUGUGAGACAUCGUACAUGUAAAGGCCGAAUGAUCCUUGUCUUGUUCAGAACUGAAACAAAAUUUAUAUAAAUUAGGGAUAUCCGGUCCGAUUCACGAGACACUUCCUUUUGCGAACUAACUUUCCGUGGAAACACGACGUCCGAGAGUUUAAAGACUUUAGACUCCUCCCUCAAAGCCCGGCGUCGUACCUACUACAAUGGGUGACCAUGGGCAGUGAUGACAGCCGUUUUUAGGCGCUUUCCAUAGGGUAAUUUACCCCCAUAUUUUUUUUCAUAAACUUAUUUAAAAAAAAUAAUCUAGAACGUGAAAACAGUACCACAAGACAGCAAGUUCAAAAUUUAAUAUAGAAUCACUAGGGUAAAUUAAAACCAGUAAACUAUGCUACCAAUAAACGCUGCGUAAAUAAAUAAAUUCCUGGCCAUUACAGGAUUACAGCAUUUAUUAACUGAGUCAUCACCGAAUUACUGCGAAGUUAUAAACAAAUAUUAAAUACAGGAAAUGAUUAAACAUAACACGAAUAUUAUCUACAUUUAAAGAUAUUUUCCGAAUGAUAAGGUUUUUACAAGCACAGUUAUACCAACCCGCUAUAACUAAAAUAUAUUUAGUGACGUAAUACAUAUAUAUUUGGAUUUCUCACAUAUAUAAAGUAGUGAACAGGAAUUUGUGCAGACAGUAAGAUUCCGCAUUGCUCGUAGACGUGUUUGUUAAGGAGUUAUCGAAAAAUGUCUGACGAACAAGUUCAGCAAGCAGAGAUGACAGAGGAGGAACCAAAAGUUGAAGAGGCAGGUGACAGCGAUGACGCACCGGAUCUUACAAACACGACUUUUACUAAUGUUGUCGUUACGCCCCCAAAUUGUCCCAAAGGAUUCCAGAGGGGAGCUGACGGUGUAUGCCGAGAAGUAUUCUAAAAUCACCAUUUAAAACCCCCGUUAUCUCACUCUCUCAGGAUUAAUAAUCCUUUGUUUAAAUUAAUACUUGUCGUCUCAUAAUAUGUUGUCUGAUAAUGUUUUUUUGUUGAAAUUCAAUUGGAAUAUUGUACUUUCUCAAUUGAUUGUAUUAAAUUUAUUUAUAAUUUAGAAACUUAGUUUCAAAUAGUGUUAGGUUUAAAAUUAAUAUUUAUGUUAACUGUGAUCUUAUAGGAUAUUAUAUUUCGUUUGCAAAAUUUCAUCAGUGUAAUAAAUGUUUCUAAAUUUA